rnacentral:lncRNA from 1 species
CUCUCUCUCUCUCAGCUCAGGGGUGAGGAAAAUUUUCCCCUCAUCUCUCCUGGCUUUGAAGGAGUUCUAGAAAGGCCUGACAUUUUCUGGUUUGUAGACAACCACUCCAAUCUCCAUUUUCACAGAGCCACCACCAUCACAAGAAUGUCAGUACAUUUAGGUCAUGGUCCAUUCUAGCCCAGUAUGACUUCAUCUUAAAUUGAUUACAUCAGUUACAUCUCCAAAUAAGGUCAUGUUAGCAAGCCUAGCACUUGAGCACAUCUUGGUGGAAGUGAAUACUACUUUGCUUGCAUGUCCUUGAACAUAAACUACUGUGUGUCUUCCACUAUUUAAUGAACGAUCUCCUGUCCAACACAAUUUGACCUCUUCUUGAUAACUAAGUAUCUACUGAGCCAUGUCAGGGCAAAGCUCCAGAUUAUGACAGCACAAAGCCCUAGCAGUCCAUGGAAUACCAGCCUCCUACUUCUUUGUUGUCCUCUCUCCCUACUCCAAACUGUUCUGAGUUCAGAAUUAAUAAGAGAAAGGCAUGCUCAGAAGCGAUGAGCCACCUAAAAACCCUUAGGACCACCUGUCCUGCAUCACACUCCUGAUCAACUCCACCCUCAGGAGAUCCUCUACCAGACUAUACCAGAGAAGUCGAAAGCCUGUGCAGGAAUGCAUAGGUGAAGCUGAGUGGAGGGGAUUGUGGGGGGGAGAAAAUAUCUGUUGGUAUGAAGUUACAUAAAAUCCCAGAUUGCUAAAAGUCUAAUAAACCUGGAAAACCAGGAGUUUCCAAACUUGGAUAAAAGAAGCAAAAGCAUCAGCUCUUUGGAUGAUGAAGGGCUGUGAAGAGCCUCUGGCACUACAGCAGCUAGCCAGCAGCAGAGGGAAGCAUCCUGAUCAGUACCAACUUCAGUUCUCCCUGUCCUGUGACGGAAAUGGAUAUUGUCUUCAGCAAUAGGGUGCUCUCAUCUAGCCCUAGUAGCUCCUGAUGUGAGUUCUCAGCUUGCUAUUCCAGCAGCCAUCUCCGUGGCCUCUGUUCCUCUCACACUGCCAGAGAUAGAGAAAGGAGAGACCUGACCUGCACUGCAAUAGUGAAAGGUGCCUUCAACGCCACACCUCACCCAGUUGAACUUCCAAUUUGUGAAAGAAAAGGGCCUAGGGAGUGUUCUGUUGCCACGGCAAAUCAUCAUCCCGCUGCAAAGGUGACUUGAGGGGACAGGGGUAGCAGCAGAGUUUGGCAGUGUCUUCCAACUUUCGCAAAGAUGCAGGAAGGAGUAAAAGAGCUGCGGAAUCUUCUCCUGCAGUUUCACAGAUGUGCCAAGGCCAGGUGUGGGGCAGGCUCCUACAUGGAGGCCUUGAGGGGCUAUGGAAUAGAAUUGUGGAAAUAAAGCCUGCCUUGUGUUGGAAACCCCA